GCGUCGGCCAGGCGGCGCGGACCUUUCCAUAUUGGUCGUUGACCGCCCACAGUAAAACCGCGCCGCGAGUGUUCGAAAUUUCGAAUUUGAAUUUGACACUUGUGUUUUUUUUUCUCUGUGGUCUGUGCUCGGAUUUUUUAUUAACGGAGACUAAAGAGAUUGACGCUUGCUACUUGACGCGUGCUAAGGUAAAACCCAGUACCAUUUUC